UACGUAGGGGGCGAGCGUUGUCCGGAUUUAUUGGGCGUAAAGAGCGCGUAGGCGGCUGGAAUAGUCCGGUGUGAAAUCCACAGGCUUAACCUGUGAAUGCCGCUGGAAACUGUCUGGCUAGAGUCCGGAAGGGGCGAGUGGAAUUCCUGGUGUGGCGGUGAAAUGCGCAGAUAUCAGGAGGAACACCAAUGGCGAAGGCAGCUCGCUGGGACGGUACUGACGCUGAGGCGCGAAAGCGUGGGGAGCGAACAGG
rnacentral:rRNA from 1 species